rnacentral:rRNA from 2 species
UACGUAGGGUGCGAGCGUUGUCCGGAAUUAUUGGGCGUAAAGGGCUCGUAGGCGGUUUGUCGCGUCGGGAGUGAAAACACUGGGCUUAACCGAGUGCUUGCUUUCGAUACGGGCAGACUUGAGGCAUUGAGGGGAGAACGGAAUUCCUGGUGUAGCGGUGAAAUGCGCAGAUAUCAGGAGGAACACCGGUGGCGAAGGCGGUUCUCUGGCAAUGUUCUGACGCUGAGGAGCGAAAGUGUGGGGAGCGAACAGG